UAAUAGAAGUUGGUGGGCCUCUCCGAAGGGUGGAGAUCACAAACAUUGGACACUUGGAACCAUCUCCAACCCCAUGUGUAAGCCAGGCAUAUUUGGUAUAAUUAACACGUCCCAACGCCGAGCGUUCUGGACAUCAAAUGGUUUCCGCCCGGUUUUGGACAAAUCGGUUCAAUCGCACGAUCGCACGUGCGAAGACUUCGGCCAUUCAUGGAUAUGGAUUUACGUUGCGAUGAUACUCUCGAUUUCAUUACGGCCAGUUUUGGUCUUUUGGUCUAUUUUUGUUGGCCAUCUCGAAGCGGAUGCUGACGAAAACUGGGUGGUACAAAGCGAGUUGCAUGAGUAAUUCUGGGGUUACGACCCAUUGCAAUGUCAACCUUCGCCCUUCGGUUUUUUUGUUUUUGCAAAAAGCGGGUAAAAAACCCUGCAUGAGAAACCUGCUUUUGAAGAACGUGACAAAAGCAAAAGUGCUUUGACCUUACUCAAGAGAUGAAAAAAGUACAAGUGGGUGAACAUUACUGACAUCGAACAAAUGGAUUGUUACAUGAAUACUCGCUUGAUGUCCAAACAAUUUAGAUGCUAUAUCAAAAGGCAUUGCAAAAAGUUUUAAUGCAACUGUAGGCACGCGCAUUAUCAUAUGUACAUACAUACGUACAUAUAUAGAAAAUAAUUCUAUUCGAGGGGAGAUAAUUCUAAGGAAAUGCAUAUAGUACUUGCAAUAAAUAUACGAUUAAUGGGG